GGGGUUGUGGCUCAGUGGUAGAGCACUUGCCUAGCAUGUGCAAGGCCCUGGGUUUGAUCCCCAGCACCA
rnacentral:tRNA from 1 species